CUGCACCCGGACAGGAUCACCGCCACGCUCGCGAGAUUGCGAGAGAGACUCGCUCGCACGCCUUCAAUUUUCCCGCACAGCGUGGCGGGCGCAUACAGGUCGUUCGUUAAUUAGAACGAGAGGAUAUAACGAGUUGCGCGUGUGAUGGGUGAUGGCGCGAGAGAUAAGGAAAGAGGAUGAGACGACGAUGACGACGCGUGAGAAGGAUAGAGACAAAAAGAGACGAGAGAGAAAGAGAGAGAGAGAGAGAGAGAGAUUCUGAUUGUGAUCGAGUUAAUGUGAG